CUUAUCUUUCCUAAGUUUCUUUUGAGUGCAUAUCAUUGGGCUAUGAAUUAUGUAUGGAUUAAAAAUCAUAUUCUAGAAAUUGAGUAUCAAUUUGCAUGGAGAUAUUUAGACCGCUAAAUAACCAACUUAUGAGGUAUAUAUCACUUGGUCAUAUACUAUCAUUGGUAAACACCAUAUGCAAAAACUUAUGUCUCAAUUUAUCUGAAAAUAUUUUUUAAGUUGCUACU
rnacentral:lncRNA from 1 species